ACGUGUGUAGUGAGUACGCAGGUAUCUGUAGGGGAACCUGCGGUUGGAUCACCUCCUUACCUGAAGAUACCUUCCCGCGCAGUGUCCACACAGAUUGUCUGAUAAAAAAGUAACGAGCAGAAAAACCUCUACAGGCUUGUAGCUCAGGUGGUUAGAGCGCACCCCUGAUAAGGGUGAGGUCGGUGGUUCAAGUCCACUCAGGCCUACCAAAUUUUCACUCAUGCUGCGUUAUGUUUACGGCUCGCAUAGUGAACUAUGCGUCGCGAAAACACGCCUUGCCUGAGUAAAAAUUACAUCUCCUUUCUGGAAUGUAAUGGUAGUAAAAGGUUUCUGUAAGACUGUAUGGGGCUAUAGCUCAGCUGGGAGAGCGCCUGCCUUGCACGCAGGAGGUCAGCGGUUCGAUCCCGCUUAGCUCCACCAUACUGUUUUUCUAAUAAAAUACUUCAGAGUGUACUGGCUAACAGUAUGCUGCGAAGUAUUAUGCUCUUUAACAAUCCGGAACAAGCUGAAAAUUGAAACGACAUGUCGUUUUCAUUCUCCGUAAUAAGAAUGAAAUCUACGAUAUGUUCGAGUCUCUCAAAUGCUCGCAACGACAACACGUGUUCCGUAUGGGACGCUUGUGGGUUGUGAGGUUAAGCGACUAAGCGUACACAGAGGAUGCCUUUGUACACACUAACGU
rnacentral:misc_RNA from 1 species